rnacentral:lncRNA from 1 species
UUUAGUAAAUGUUUAUUAUGUUUUUUUAACUUCAGCCAUGCAUUUGGUAAAAAGCAAUUCAUUUUAUGAAAUUCUGUUCCCCAGGCAUAGAAUUAUUCCCUUUAUUGCUUAAUAUAAGUUCAGUUUCACGUCCAGUAAGAGCAUAAGGCCCAAUAAAGAAAAUUGGCAAAAAAAAGGCAUAGGUUUAUUUUAUGUAGCUGCCCAAGUUAUGCAUAAAGUUCAUAAACUCCAUAUUCUAUUGUUGGUCAUAAAUAUGAUGGACCCAGUGGACAUCUGGUUACCCAUACAACUGUAGGAAGCAUUCCAGUUCCAUUUGGAUUCAAGCAACUCAAAUAUCCUCCAACUGUUAAAUAAAUAAAUUUUGUUGCAUCCAUACAAUAGAAUACUUCACAAAAAUAACAAAUGAUGAACUACGUGACGUAACAACACAAAUGUAUCUUAGACACAUUAUUCUAAGUGAAAAAAGCUCAAUCUUAAAGACUGUAUAAUAUGAUCCCAUUUACAUUGAUAUGACAGGCUUGAAAUGACAAAACUGUAGAGACCAAAAACAGAUUAGUCAGUGAUUCCAAGAAGCCAAGGCUAUAGGAAGGGUUUGACUUUAAAGGAUUAUGAGGGAUUUUUUUUUUCAGCUGCUCUAUACCUUGAUUGUGGGAAGUGUGAACUUUAUAGUAAGUUAUACCUAUAAAUAAUUUAAAGCCCUGAGCAAGAAAACAAAACACAAUAACUUUGACAAUACAUUGUUAACUAUAAGUACAGGUUAGGUAAUUGCAAUGCAUAUGGCGUAAUAGUAUUUAGAAUAUAUAAAUAACUAUGAAUCAGUAAGGGUAAGUCAUCCAAAAAACCAUCCAAGUUAAAAACUGUAUCAGUGAUAUUGACAGAAAAUUCACAAAAACAAGUGUCUGAAUGGCCAAAAAACAAAUGAAAAUAUGCUCAACUUCACUUUUAAUUUUCUCAAGCUAGAACAACAGUCAGAUAAUAGGAGGUGUUAGGAGGUGGAGAAAGAAGUAUAAGAGGUAAAUGUAUUCUUACACAGCUGGGCAAGUUUCAAAAAUGAUAGAAUUAUUUUUGGAGAGUUAUUCUUCAGUUCCCAGGAACACUGAAAGUAAGAAUACCCAGUCACUCAGAAAUUCUGCUAAGUAUUUAUUCCAGAGAAAUUGUUCCAGUUGUCAAUAUUGUAUACAAAAUAUUCAUCAGAGCAUACUUAAGACAGGAAUAAUUGGAAUCGCCAAAUCUGCUAUUAAAAACCCAUCUGAUUCUAGUAACCUUAACACUGAUUGAAUUUCCUCAUCUAUAACAGAAGAAUUGUAGUUUAAUUAUUUGCUGGUGUCAUCUGAAAUAAAAUGUCUAAUCAGCACCUAGAACAUUGUAGGUAUGAUAUAGAAUACUGAUUAUACUCAUUGACAUUCAUCUCUAAAGGCUCGAUGAAAAUAGGAAAGGAUUUUUUUUCAUGAUAAAUAAGAACAACCAUUGUUUACUCCUUUGAUUCUAUAGAACAAUUUUUGUUACCUCCCCUAAAACCCUAAUGGUGUCUGACUUUAGCUGGCCUCUUUAAUCCUCGACUGAACUGUGGAUUCUAGGCAGUGGGUGUCAGUAGGGGUCCAUAUCUACUUAGAUAGCCCAUACCAGCUCACUUGGGCCUGGAUACAUUUUUGACUAGGAUUGAAAAAUUUUAUAAUCCAAUUACUAUUUUAAAAAUGUAAAGCCACAGAAAUUUACUCAUUUCUAAUUUAAACCUUAAAUUACUACACUGUAAUCCCCUUUGCAUCUUGUCAUCAAGGAGAGGAUUGUUAUAAUAUGUCAUGUAACUUUUCUCAAGUAUAGUAACUUCUGUGCACUCUUCUGGAGCUUUAUUUUAUUUGGAGUGUAAAACACACAUGUCUUUUGCACUCCAUUUCAUAUUCAAAAUUUUGAAUGCCCACAGAAGGAUUUUCUAAAUUCCAAAUUCUAUAUACUUCCUCCUGUCUGCAUUUUUAUAAUUUAUGUUUUUUCUAAUGACUCUAUAUGAUUUAGAGAAUAUGGAAAAUAAAAAUUCACUCCCACAACACUUAAAACACAAUCAAAAUAUUUUUCUAAGCUAUUCAGAUAAAGCAAAAGUGUAUAUUUUUAUACUAAUCCAAAAAUUCCAAUUUUCACUUUUCACCUUUUCAUAUACAUUUUAGUCUGAAUUUGUCCAGUUCUACUGCUGCAAGUUGUUUUCAAUUUACAUAACAUUAUUCAAAAUAUAAGAAAAUACAGGAAGAAAGAUUUUAGUUAAUGAUUAAGCUGGAGAGAACAGGUAAUGAAUAUGAUGAGUACAUAAAUUACUGUUAAAAACAGAUAUUUUUGAAAAUGAAAGUUAGUGCUAAACCAGGCCAGACACAAGAACAAUUGGUAUAAAAAACUGGGGCUGUCCUGGGCAAACUGAGACCAAUAUUCAUACUAGUGAUAAAUAAUUCACCACAGCCACAUACAGAUCAUGUAAAUUUAUUGCAAAAUGCACUGGCUAAAAUGUCCCAUAUUCUGAUGCUUAUAUUUCCACCUUUGGGGGGACACUUGGUCAUUAUUUCAUCCAGUUACAUUUCAUGAGUUCCAGGACGGGAGCUAGAGACUGAUGAUCAGCGCUGAAGGAAUCAGACCCCACGUCUGUUUUCAGAGCAUCUGGUUUAUAGAGGUAUUGCCAUUUUAUGGAAUUUCAAAUGUCUUAAGAUGUAGCACACAUAAACAGUGACUAAAUUUUCCUAUUUAGGUAGAAAUGUGUAGCAGAACUGAUUUUUAAAAAAAAAGGAAUUUAAAGGAAAAUCUAUGCUACCCAAUGUGUGAUGCUUUUAGAGCUCAUCUUUGGAGAAGAACUUUUAAAGAAGAAAAAGUAAUAGAUGAAUACAGUCAUUAAUUGGUGGAAGUAUCCUUAGAAGACAAAAUAUUUGUCAUGGCAAGUGAUUAAAGUAAAGAAAAAUAUAUAACUGAACAGUCACAGGAACGUAACAGAAACUAGAAAACAAAAUCAACAUCAUUGCAGUGAAGGUACCUUAAAAUCAGUUGAAAAAGAUGUUUAGAAUAUCUGCUUCCUUCUCCUUCCCAGGACCAUCACUUCAGAUAAUAUGCUACACAGAUCCUGAUUUGUUCUCUAAAUUGCUGAGAACAGUAAUUUCCUAGAACUAUGCUGACCAAUGGUAAUGGACAUCAAAUUCUCCUUCCAUAGUUGAUCAGAUAUAUUGGUGUAUUACCUCAGGAGUACACGUUUCUUAACAACAACAAAACAAAUACGCACACACACAAACAAAAUGAAACAAAAUAAAACAAAACUUUAACAACUGUUCGAUUGCCCAGAAACACCACGAUUGUUGUGGAGACCCAAGUCCGGUUCCUCAGUUUGGUUCUAGACCUCAGUUUACUUGUGUAAAAAACUAAGUAACUUUUCCUCUUUGGAUCUUAAUUAUGUGUGGAUCUUAAUUAGGUUGCAGGGAAUCUCUAAAUUUUCUUCCAAAUGAGGCAUUUGGUGAGUAUUUUACAACAUUGUAACAGAAUUUCUCAAAUUCUUUCUCGUAUUAUUUUUGUCUCUCGGAAUGUUUUCUGAUUCUAGAUUUCUAGUUUACUCUUUUCCUUCCUUCAGAGAGAAACUUCGGAAGGAUUAGAUUUCAUAAACUUUUCCACAUCUAAUAUUCUCAUUCACUAACACCUCAGUUCUCUAAUAUGGCUCUUUUCUUACCAUUUAAUUAAAAUUAUUAUUUGGGGGUCACCAAAAGCCUUUUUGUUAUUAAUUCAGGAUAGCUAUAUGUGUUCUUAUCUCAGCCUCUGUGCAGGACCUGAUCUUUGGGGACACAUCUAUUUUGAAGUUCUCUCCAUCAUGGUCUUUCAUGACAAUGUUGCUCUUUUUCUUUCUUUUUUUUUUUUCCUAGCCAUUUUAUUUAUUUAUUUUUCCUUUCUCUGUACUCCUCUUUAAUACUAGUGUCUCACACAUACAUGUUCAACCCUCUCAAAACUUCAUUCAUAUUCAUGUGUUCAAUUUCCACUUAUGUUUGUAAAUCUCUCAUUACAUCAAACCUUUUUAUGUUCUGUAACCACAUACACAACAAACAUUCAUCUGAAUAUUCAUACACAACAUUUAUCUGAAUCCAACAGAUACCUUAAAUUCACAAAAGUAAGAAACACCAUUUUAGCUCCAGCCCCAAAUAUCUUCCUCCUGAGGUGCCCCUUAUCAUUGUAUAUGGUACU